rnacentral:lncRNA from 1 species
AGCUUUGGUGAGAUAAUUAUCGUUGUGCGUCAUUCCAACGACAUCCGGGAAGAAAUAACUCGGUCACCGUGCAAUUUUCCGGUGACCUAAGUGAUAAUUACGUCAAAGUCACUAAUUAUCAGUGUUGUGCAAAAACCAACACCCCCACAAGACUCGGAAUAGAAUUCCGACCAAACCCCAGAAAUUUCUCCGGCAGACUCCCCGUCA